AUGUACCAAGCGUCCACUGCGGUUGUGAGCGCGCCGUCCGCGCCCACCUGACAGCUGCCCGCUACGUUUUGUUAGCC
rnacentral:sRNA from 2 species